UUCUUAUUGGAUGAUGACUGUGACAUGUCAUGUUCUGAUUGGAUGUCAACUUCAUGAAAGAUGAAAUGCAUUGUUGUUUUCAUUGACCAAUCAGAACAUGACACGUGACAGUCAACAUCA
rfam:Glycine soja cultivar W05 scaffold2158_46, whole genome shotgun sequence.